GAAAACAUAAACCACUCUCACGUUUGAAGUGUUUUCGGAUCGCCUGAGGCAUAAAGCACUAGCCCAGCUGGCCUUGUCUCCCUUCCUCCAAGAAGCUGCGUUCUUC